rnacentral:rRNA from 1 species
GACGAACGCUGGCGGCGUGCUUAACACAUGCAAGUCGAACGGAAAGGCCUCUUUCGGGGGGUACUCGAGUGGCGAACGGGUGAGUAACACGUGAGUAACCUGCCCUUGACUUUGGGAUAACUUCAGGAAACUGGGGCUAAUACCGGAUAGGAGCUCCUGCUGCAUGGUGGGGGUUGGAAAGUUUCGGCGGUUGGGGAUGGACUCGCGGCUUAUCAGCUUGUUGGUGGGGUAGUGGCUUACCAAGGCUUUGACGGGUAGCCGGACUGAGAGGGUGACCGGCCACAUUGGGACUGAGAUACGGCCCAGACUCCUACGGGAGGCAGCAGGGGGGAAUAUUGCACAAUGGGUGGAAGCCUGAUGCAGCAACGCCGUGUGCGGGAUGACGGCCUUCGGGUUGUAAACCGCUUUCGCUCAUGACGAAGCUUUGUGUGACGGUAGUGGGUAAAGAAGCACCGGCUAACUACGUG